rnacentral:rRNA from 1 species
GACGUAGGGGGCGAGCGUUGUCCGGAUUUAUUGGGCGUAAAGAGCUCGUAGGCGGCUCAGAAAGUCGGGUGUGAAACCUCCAGGCUCAACCUGGAGACGCCACCUGAUACUGCUGUGGCUAGAGUCCGGUAGGGGAACACGGAAGUACCCGGUGUAGCGGUGAAAUGCUUAGAUAUCGGGUGGAACACCAGUGGCGAAGGCGGUGUUCUGGGCCGGAACUGACGCUGAGGAGCGAAAGCGUGGGUAGCAAACAGG